rnacentral:lncRNA from 1 species
AAGACCGGUCCCUCCGUCCUAGGAGGGGAAGGCAUCUCCAGCAGGUACCUAAGGAGCUGGCGUCUCUAUGGCUGUGCAGGGCUCCAGGGAACGAAAUAAAAGAUCUGCUCUUCCUGCCCUGGGUUGGUGUAAGCCUUGCACCGCCUUCUCUGCUCUCCCUCGGGCCCCGAGUUCCACCGCCUGGCUACCUACGCUUGCCCUUCCCUUCCUUCGAAAGGCGGCGUGCACCUCCUGGUUAUCCAGCCCGGCCUCCUGGGUCAGGUGCACACGCACACACACGCGCGCACUCACACGCACGCAUACAAAUGAGCACAGCACGCUGCUGGAGUGAGCUAUUAUUAUUAUUGUCGUCGGCGACCCGCAGCUCAGUCUGCACCGCUGACGUUAGGACCGAGCCCCCCGGUGCGAACCGGGGGGGGGGGGAGACGCCUGUUUCUCCGAGGGUCGCCUUGACGGAGCUGCGGAGACAAGAGGGGGAAACCACUGUGAUGCCAGCCUGGCCCUGGGUGGGGAGACGAGGUCGGCAGGUGUCCUGAUGAGGAAGCCUGAGACGUCAACACCCAUUGCGGGGAGACCUCGGCUCUGCAGCCUUCCUUCCUCGGUGGUGUGCAUCUUGCCAAUUUGCAGGACCAAGAAAGAAACCCAGCUGCUCUCAGAGGACCCGAACUUCAAAUUUAAACCGACCUCCUCGCUUUGCGUCUCGCCUUCUGGGCUUACAGCAUUUGAAUGGGAGCGGAGGUGGGGUGGGGUGGGGUAGAGGGUAGUUCUCCAAUGGCUGACCGGACUCUAAGAGAUAAUGAUUUAAUUUUCAUAUCCUUGGGUUUCUCAAAAUGGGUUUCCCUGAAAUGAAGGUUCCCCGUCUUUUCAC